CAGAUUAAAAUUUAGCUUUAGGCUUUCUGUUUACUUGAAAGGGCAUAUUGUUUAUAUCUCUUCUAGCUAAACUCAGCAUUGUGAAGUGGUUGGUUUUUUUUUCUUUAUAGGAAGUUUAAAACUUCAGGUCCGUGUUGUGUGUCAGAAUGCUAAUAUUCCAAUGACCCAGUGGGGUUUCCCCUGAGGAAUCCAGUAAACAUUUGAAAAUAAUUGAAAUCAACUUAUGGUUGACCCAUGAAACAAAUGAACUAUUUGCUGUGAUCUAAUGCCUUUAUGUAAAUUUGACUGUGAAUUCUGUGUAUCAGGCUGUUGUUGCCUGUGGCUGCCCACCUCCUUCACCUUUUUUGGAGGAAACUAGGGGCUUGGCUACACUUGCAGAUGUAGAGUGCUUUGGGUUAAAUCAGCCUUCGUACAACGCAGUAGGGAAAGUGCUCCAGUCUGUCCACACUGACAGCUGAAAGCACACUGGCCUGGCCACAUUUGCAGCACUUGCAGCUGCAUUAGGAGUGGUGCAUCAUGGGCAGCUAUCCUAACAUUCAAGUGGCUGCAACAUGCUUUUCAAAUGGGGAGGGAGUAGGGUGGAGUGUGUUGUGUGUAUGUGGGGGGAGAGAGAGUGGGUUUUUGGGGUGCUGAGUGUGUGUCAGCACGCUAUCUUGUAAGUAUAGAUCCCCCUCCCUCCCCCGCCUCUCUCACUCACUCACUCAAAGCAAACAUUAGCUGUUUAUUUUUUUCUCGGAGCUGAUAAGCAGCCGGCAGGCCGAAACCGAGCUUUGAAAGGGCCACUUCCGCAUUCGUGCUGGAGUUCACAACAAAGACAAGAAAGGCCACUUCAGUUAAUGGGCUUAUGGGACGUUUCCAGAGGGCAAUCAGAGCGCUGUAACAUAACUCCUCGUUCACACUGACACUGUAGCGUCUCGCCCAAUAUGCAGCAAACCUUAUCCCUGGAGUACCAGCAGCGCUAUAGCCAGGGAGUCAGAGUGCUCUACGUGCCUUGCCAGUGUGGACGGGGAGUGAGUUAUAGCGCUCUGGGUGGCUUUAUUGCGGUAUAACGUGCAAGUGUAGCCAAGGCCUAGGUAUGGAAGGGUUGGG